rnacentral:rRNA from 1 species
GACGAACGCUGGCGGCGUGCUUAACACAUGCAAGUCGAACGGAAAGGCCCUGCUUUUGUGGGGUGCUCGAGUGGCGAACGGGUGAGUAACACGUGAGUAACCUGCCCUUGACUUUGGGAUAACUUCAGGAAACUGGGGCUAAUACCGGAUAGGAGCUCCUGCUGCAUGGUGGGGGUUGGAAAGUGUCGGCGGUUGGGGAUGGACUCGAGGCUUAUCAGCUUGUUUGUGGGGUAGUGGCUUACCAAGGCUUUGACGGGUAGCCGGCCUGGGAGGGUGACCGGCCACAUUGGGACUGAGAUACGGCCCAGACUCCUACGGGAGGCAGCAGUGGGGAAUAUUGCACAAUGGGCGGAAGCCUGAUGAAGCAACGCCGCGUGCGGGAUGACGGCCUUCGGGUUGUAAACCGCUUUCGCCUGUGACGAAGCGUGAGUGACGGUAAUGGGUAAAGAAGCACCGGCUAACUACGUG